rnacentral:rRNA from 1 species
GUCGGGAGUUAGGAAAUGCAGGUUGGUUAAUACCCAACCUGUUUGACAAAGGCCCCAAAGGAAGCCACGGCUAACUCUGUGCCAGCAGCCGCGGUAAUACAGAGGUGGCAAGCGUUGUUCGGUAUUAUUGGGCGUAAAGAGCACGUAGGUGGUUUUGUAAGUCAGAUGUGAAAGCCUUCUGUUCAAAGGAAGAACGGCAUCUGAAACUGCAGAUCUUGAGUGUAGGAGGGGAGAGUGGAACUUCUGGU